rnacentral:rRNA from 1 species
AUGCCUCUCUUCAAGAGGACACCUUUCUUCUUACUGGACCCACCAAAGGACUUGGAUCCCAAGGAGAAGGUGUUCCAAGUUCGAUUUACUAAGGAGAUAUUUCGAGAUUACCAGGAGUACCUGAAUAGGUUGAACCUUUACCGUAAAAGGGUUUGGACAUGUAAGGUGUCUGGAAAAUCUAAUUUAACCUAUGAGGAAGCUUUGGUCUCAGAGCAGCGGGCUGCAGAGAAGGCUCAACAGUUGCCAAGAGAGCUUAUGUCUCCUGUUCUCCAGAUGAUCCAAUACAGUACACUUAACUUAACUGACCUUGUCAACAAGAUAUAUGGCAGUCUGCAAGAGAAUCUGUUUGAAGGAUUAGAAUUACAUGCUAAAAGAGAUGGUUCGGAGGCUGCUUGCAAGAUUCUGAAGGUUAUAGGUUCAGGUAAAACCACAAGCUAUGAGGUGGGCUGGAUUGGUCAAGACAAUGCAAUUACCAGCACUUCAGUUCUCAGAGCCGACGAUCUAAUUCGCAAGAAAGCACCUUGUGGUCGUAAUAUGCUCAAGAUUUUUGUCAGGGAAUCAACAUCACAAAACUCUCCAUGGAUCGUACAUAUGAAUCUUGCAAAGAAAUAUGGCAUACCCACUGAGCCUCCAAAAGACAUGAUUAAUGGUGAAGGAUUGUCCAAAGCAAGGAAAAGACUAGCGAAUGGGACUGCAGAAGAUGCCAGCAAAAGGUCAAAGAAAGAUGAGGAGCAAGUAGUACCAGUUAAAUACCCAAUCGAUGAUCUUUUAGUAAAGCCGGUGGCAGAUGACCCUCUUUUGUCAAAGAGAUGCCCAGCAUCCACAGAUUUCAAAGUCCCUAUAAGUUCUGUGGGAGAUCUCCUGAUGGUCUGGGAUUUCUGCAUGUCUUUUGGGAGGCUUUUAUGCUUGUCGCCGUUUUCCUUGUCAGAUCUGGAGAAUGCAAUUUGCCACAAAGAAACCAAUCUUGUUCUUCUUGUGGAAAUACACACUGCACUUCUCAAUUUGCUUAUUAAUGAUGAAGGCGAAUAUUUUGAGUUUAUCCAGAACAAGAACAGAAAAUCAAAGGUAUCUCUAGUCACCUGGAAGGAGUAUCUAUGUGAUUUCAUGGAAAUGACAAGUAUCUCCAGUAACAUAUCAACAGUACGGAGGGGUCACUAUGGUCUUGUUCCCACUAGCCUGAAACUUGAAAUCCUACGGGAAUUGGUAGAUGAAGCCAUUGCAACUAUUGCUGUAAAAGAGAAAUUAGAUGAACGCAUUGAUCAGCAACAUGCACUUGUAGCAGAAAAAAGAGAGAUUGCUAGAAAGAGUAAGGAAGAGCAGAAGCUGAUCAUGGAAGUGGCAACAGAAAAGGAAAUGAAUCAGGCAAAUGCUGUACAGGAUGGCAACGAGAAUGUUAAUAGCCAGCUUGUGGCAAAAGAAGGGAACGAGAGGAAAAACGCUCCCACCAGCAAAAUGGGAGAUGCGAAAUUGCAUCUGGUCGGCAACGGGAAUGUUAAUAGCCAGCUUGUGGCAAAAGAAGGGAAGGAGAGGAAAAACGCUCCCGCCAGCAAAAUGGGAGAUGUGAAAUUGCAUCUGGGGAGGCAUCUGGAGAAAGAACUACUGGACCAAUCAGUACGAACUAGUCCUCUUGGAAAAGACAGAUACUAUAACAGGUAUUGGUUUUUUAGGCGUGAAGGAAGACUUUUUGUUGAAAGUGCAGAUUCCAAAGAGUGGGGGUACUAUAGCACCAAGGAAGAGCUUGAUGCGCUCAUUGGGUCUUUAAACAUUAAAGGCAUAAGGGAGAGAGCACUCAAACAACAGCUUGACAAGUUCUACAACAAGAUAAGUAAUGCUGUGGAGAAGAGAUUGAAGGAGGUGACACAUCAGUUGUUAGUUGAAGAGGCUGUGUUGCGGCGUUCAUCUCGUGUACAUGCUCAUCCAAAGGACAGCCCUUCUACGUCAUUCCUCGAGUAUGUCAACACAUGGAAGCCUGUUCAAAAGAGAAACAGAUCGAAAGAUGACCGAGCUACUUAG